GGCACGAGGUCCUUGUAGAUUUCGGCACGCUUUCACGCUGCUCCUUCGCUGAUUUCGCAAUAAUAUAUGCGAAGUAUAAUACGUGCGCGGGGUUCGUGUGCCAAGUAGCCGUCCCAUGAUGCCCCAGUCAGGAGUGGGAGGAGAAGCAAGAAGAUAAAGCGCUAAUGGCGUCCGGUAGUGACCGCUGCGUUCGUCGUCACGUCCAAGACUUGUGAAUAUGCGGGAGAGCAAGUGAGACGGACGAUGUUGUGCAAUGCUCUCGAUUUACAGCAGCAUAUUUGAGUCGAAUUGAGAUAUUUUGUGCGUGUCAUUAUUGCAUUGAGGACGAGUGAACUAUGGAAAUACAGUGGUAUAUACGGGAUCUGACUGUGCUUGCGGCAAAGAGACAGAGGCCGACUUGGCGUGCGUGUGUAUGUGCAUGUGUGGAUCGAGUACCGGUUCAGGCACAGCGGGGGCAACACGAAGGAAAUAGUCAGUUCCAAACAAUGAGUGUUGCAUAGUUGGAAAAUAGGCUCCUACGACGUCUACAAAUGAACUUGUUUACAUCGACUUGGCCGACAUUAUUACGGGUGAUUAACGUCUCGUACGGCGAUAGGUGAAAGAGUAACGGGGCGGCUAAGGGGGAUCCCGGCCGGAAGGAGCGAACAAUCGAAUGAAGGAAGGAAGGAAGGAAGGAAGAGAGAGAGGGAGAGACAACGGGUCAACUGGCCGGACGGUCUGACGAAUUGCCAGAGUGCGAAGGGCGGUUGUGCGCACGGGGUGACUAACGAAAUGCGAGGUGAAAGCGCUCGCGGACUCUCGCUGCCGCGGAGAUAAACAGCUAGUAGCGCGGUUACAGGCUGUAAGCGAGAUUGUAGCGGCGGCUGUUAAUUCGUCGAACAUCGCGGUAACAGCUAUCCGUCUUCCCUACGUCACCGCGCCGCGCCAAGGAAAAAGGGUCCCGGCUGUUUGCAGUCCUCUGCCUUUGAAAGUGGUACAAGUAUCGGUGCAUGGAAACGCACUAGAGACUGCAGAGACAGAAUCGGUGUCGGUGGUUGCGGCCGUGUCGGCAAUCUGAACGCGCGCAAAACAGCGCUUGCAGCUGACGUUUUACACUUUGCGGUAGCUGAUGGUAGCCAGAUAGGUUCCUCGACGCAAUUGUGCCCCUCCCUGCGCGGUCGCGCAAUCAUCCCUGUCGCCACGGCCCGGCCAAGUUCGCGCCGCGCAACCCGUCCUGAGGACUGACCUCCGGAGUUUUCAUGAAAAUUCAGACUUAUCGGGAAAACGGUAGCCGUUCCACCUUUCGACCUCCGCUUAAAAGUAUUCCGCGAUUGGAAACCUUUCUAGGACAUCGAUAUGCCCGAGAGUUCGAGCGGCCUGACGUGGCCGUUCUCUUCUCCAACAGAAAGACGUUCCAAUGUCGAGCAUCGCCCAAAAACACGCUUCAACCUGUGACAAAGAGAUGUUUAUCGAGGAGGUAAUUGUUCGUUUCUUUUUUCCUUUCUGUUCAACUCCACUCUUUCCACGUGCGAUCACGUCGAGGUUUUGCGCAUGGAUGAAACACUCGUUUGAUAAAUUAUUAUUCUUUAUAAUAAUGAUAAUAAUUAUUAUUAAAUUAUAAUUAUUAUUCUUUCGCAAGCCAGGACCGUUAUGUGUCGGCGCACAUCGAGCGAUAUAAUUCGGGCAACGUGUCAUAAACUGAUUCACAAAAUAUUAUAUGAAAAUGCGCUAAUCAAAGUGUACGGAAACGUGUAUAUUAAUUGGGAUACGCGCAAGCUCUUCCGUCUGUUCGUAAUUUCGUGAAACGGCCGCGUAUGUACGAAUUCGUGUGAACGGUAUUGUUCAUAGGGAAAUUACUCGUGCCGCCUCGUAUUCAUUAAUUAAUAAUGUUCUUCUACUUCAAAAACAUGCGGCAAUUAGCCGAACAACAUCUGCCGCGUUUGAAUCCUUAAAAUCCUACAUCUUUCCUCCUGUGCAUUCAGAGAUGCUGUUUCUACGUGACAGAUGGGUUCGCUUACUAUUUCAUCGGUCUCGCUUGUUUCACGCUCUCGUCGUAUCCUGUUUGCAACGCGUGAGAAUGUACCAAUAUAUAGGCCACAAUAGCGCCGGGAUUAGAUAAACCAUGUGGUUUUCAUUAAUUACCAACAUUACACAAUGUCGAUUACUCGGUAAUUUUAAAAAUAAUGCCAAAGGCAGGAAUUGAUGUUCCACUGUGCACGAGGAACAGGAACCGAUUGGCGAUUGGCCGAGCAACCGCGUGGAAAUUAAUUAGCGAGCCAAUUUAACUUUAACGACCGUUCGAUUCCAUGGAGUUUCCGACGAGGUGUGUACAUUGAUAAUAAUUUUCCCGGAUGCGCACCAGUACCUUACCAGAAUGCAACCUGUCGGAAAAGUUAUCAAAGUUAAUUUUCUGAUCGCCUGUUGAUUUUCAGCGCGAAACAACGGUGCGCAGAAGAUGCGUUGGAAAAAUUUCGUGACGUUCGCAUUUCUCGUUUAAUCAGCCGAGAAUUUCACUUAAGCGUGUAACGCUGCUCGUGCAAUACAGAUCCAAGUGUGUAGUAAAUACACUUAUGUGUAUAAAAUUACUCAUUUAUGUGUAUAAUUUUGUUUUCCAUAUAGAAAUUACACAUUGUUAUACAUAAAAAAAGACAUUUACAUAUUUAAUUGUGUAAUGUAACACGUUCUCCUGUGUACAAAAUGAUACACAUAUAAAACAUGUAAAAAUAGAAAAACAUGUAUUUCUACACAUUAUUGAAAUGCGUAAGAGAGAGCUACGCACAUAAAACACCUUUACAUAUUUACGUCUUCUUAUAUUUAAGGUUAACGUGUAAUUAAGAGGAAAUAGUAUUAGUGUAUUAGUUAAGUUACAUUCAAGUUAAUAUAACUGUGUUAAGUUACCUUUCUUCCUGACGGGUACUUUUCGAGAUUGAACU